rnacentral:rRNA from 1 species
AGUAACACGUGAGUAACCUGCCCUUCACUCUGGGAUAACUCCGGGAAACCGGGGCUAAUACUGGAUAUGACUCGAACAGGCAUCUGUAUCGGGUGGAAAGAUUUAUCGGUGGGGGAUGGACUCGCGGCCUAUCAGCUUGUUGGUGAGGUAAUGGCUCACCAAGGCGACGACGGGUAGCCGGCCUGAGAGGGCGAUCGGCCACACUGGGACUGAGACACGGCCCAG